UAAUCAACUUGGAUUAAAUCCUCAUUUAAUAGUGUUAAAUCCUCACCCAAAUAUUCAGAACUUUUAAUUUCUACAGAUCUAUCUGCAUCAUAUGACUAGCUGUGGUAAAUCGUAGCUCUACU
rnacentral:pre_miRNA from 1 species